rnacentral:rRNA from 1 species
UGGGGAAUAUUGCACAAUGGGGGAAACCCUGAUGCAGCGACGCCGCGUGAACGAAGAAGGUAUUCGUAUCGUAAAGUUCUGUCCUAUGGGAAGAUAAUGACAGUACCAUAGAAGAAAGCUCCGGCUAAAUACGUGCCAGCAGCCGCGGUAAUACGUAUGGAGCGAGCGUUGUCCGGAAUUAUUGGGCGUAAAGGGUACGCAGGCGGUUUAAUAAGUCGAAUGUUAAAGAUCGGGGCUCAACCCCGCAAAGCAUUGGAAACUGAUAAACUUGAGUAGUGGAGAGGAAAGUGGGAUUCCUAGUGUAGUGGUGAAAUACGUAGAUAUUAUGAGGAAUACCAGUAGCGAGGGCGACUUUCUGGACACAAACUGACGCUGAGGUACGAAAGCGUGGGGAGCAAACAGG